UACGUAGGGUGCAAGCGUUGCCCGGAUUUAUUGGGCGUAAAGGGCGCGUAGGCGGCUCGGCACGUCCGUUGUGAAAUCGCCCGGCUCAACUGGGCGGGGUCAGCGGAUACGGUCGAGCUUGAGCAAGCUAGGGGGCAAUGGAAUUCCCGGUGUAGUGGUGGAAUGCGUAGAUAUCGGGAGGAACACCAGUGGCGAAGGCGGUUGCCUGGAGCUUUGCUGACGCUGAGGCGCGAAAGCGUGGGGAGCGAUCCGG
rnacentral:rRNA from 1 species